rnacentral:rRNA from 1 species
AUUGAACGCUGGCGGCAGGCCUAACACAUGCAAGUCGAACGGUAACAGGAAGCAGCUUGCUGCUUUGCUGACGAGUGGCGGACGGGUGAGUAAUGUCUGGGAAACUGCCCGAUGGAGGGGGAUAACUACUGGAAGCGGUAGCUAAUACCGCAUAACGUCGCAAGACCAAAGAGGGGGACCUUAGGGCCCCUUGCCAUCGGAUGUGCCCAGAUGGGAUUAGCUAGUAGGUGGGGUAACGGCUCACCUAGGCGACGAUCCCUAGCUGGUCUGAGAGGAUGACCGGCGACACUGGAACUGAGACACGGUCCAGACUCCUACGGGAGGCAGCAGUGGGGAAUAUUGCACAAUUGGCGCAAGCCUGAUGCAGCCAUGCCGCGUGUAUGAAGAAGGCCUUCGGGUUGUAAAGUACUUUCGGCGGGGAGGAAGGGAGUAAAGUUAAUACCUUUGCUCAUUGACGUUACCCGCAGAAGAAGCACCGGCUAACUCCGUG